rnacentral:misc_RNA from 1 species
GUGAAUCAUCGAAUUUUUGAACGCAAAUUGCACUCUCCGGUUUUCCGGGAGAGUAUGCCUGUUUGAGGUUCAGCCUAAAAAAAAUCGACAUUUUUGUUGUUAUUUAAUGGUGACUUUCUUCGGAGAUUGGGUUAUCUUUAACCUUUUUUUUUUCUUGGUUUACAUGCUGUAAAAUUUAUCUUAACCAUUACAUCAACU